rnacentral:tRNA from 1 species
AUAAAGAUGGCAGAGUUAGUGCAUUAGGCUUAAGUUCUAAAUAUGAAAAUUAAUAUUUUUCUCUUUAUA